AAAAAAACAAAGACACGGCCUCCUCCCCAAAAAGCUAAGAGUUGUAGAGAGCAAAAAUGAGUAGCAGCUUCAUGUAACGCGCAGCUGCUGCUAUUGACCUUAUUCCCUCAAGCCAACACCGCCUUCUUCAUUAACAAAGGGCCAAAAACUCUAUUAUUAGCACCAUUCUCGUUACUAAACCCACCUCAGAAACAACCCCUUUCUCUCUCCCUAAAAGACCAUGAAAACUAGUCACAAACUUUAGCCUUAGACCAUGAAUAAAUGCAGCAGCUCAACCACCAAAAUACUGCGCCUUUCUCCUUUGAAAAACAGCCCAAAAAUCCAUGAAAACUGACCAAAAACUCCAGAAAAAUGCCCCUCAAACUUCAGCUGAAAAAGCUGUCGGAAAGCAGCUCAAAAACGUCCCCUUUUUCAAUCAAAAACUCAGCGUUGUUAACCUGCAAAACCCAGCAGAAACGAUUCAAAACAGCCCCCAUUUCGGACAUAAAAUAGCAGCGUCAAAAUUGAGUUUCGAGUUCGACGGCGAAGUUUUCCGGUUGAAAUCUUGUUCGCGUUUCCGGUUCCGAUGCCAUGGUCCGAUUUCAAUUUUGUUAGCUCAUUGGUCACUGCCAUUGUACAAAGCUUGGCUUGGAGUUUCUCUUUGUUAAUAUAUUGAAGAUGGUUUUUUCACCGGUGAAGGUGCGGUUUUGUUUUACUUUACUAAUUUUUUUUAAAUGAAUAAAAUGCAUCUUCUAUAGAUUUGCAGUUUAUAACUUGCAUAAAACUAGCCUGCUGUUUAGUCUCUUAAUGUUUUAGCAAGAAUUUGAUAAAGGUCUAUUUAGUUGAAGUCUUAUUUGUUCUCAUGUCUAGUGUGAGUUUCUAACUUUCUGUUACUAUGCAUUAUUAGAAAUAAAUAGCUGUAGUAUUUUAAUAUUGACCACAACUGGAUAUGGCUACAAAAUAUCUAAGGGACUAAAUGUGACAGAAUUGGUUAUAUUACAAAGUUGGCGACAAGAUGACAAUCGGGCCAAGAACGACUCUGCCCAUGCCCAAUUGUCUCAUUUCAGUUUUGGUCCUUUCUCAAUAAGUUCACUAGUAAGCCCAUUUCUUAUAACUUAAUAAAUUGUCCAACUCCUUCUAACUUAGCAAGAUAAUUGAACUUGUUAAUGUAUCAAGAGCUAAUCAUACACAUCUUAUUCACAGUCAUUGCUCCAUAGUUCUCAUGCCAAAUAAAACUCCUAAGCCCAUGACCCUCACAAAAAUUAGCUAGCUCUUAUAGAAAAAUCGAGGUGUGUCAUUAGUUGAAUUUUCCAUGGCCCUCGCAAAAGGUGUAGUUGCUUUAGGCGCGUAAUUUAAAUUACUUUCCUAAAUUUGGGUGUGCAUUUAUAUGACCCAAAUCCAAAUCUCAACAAUGUUAGAUAAAAUGUGUCAUGGACCGCGGGAGCAUUUAUGUGACGUGGUUCAAGACGCGUUUUAGAUGACGUUGAAUCUUUCCUAAAAAAACAAUUAAAUAAAAGCGGUUAAUAAUUUAAAAUUAUACCAUAUGCUAAAACAUGUAUUAACAUUAGAUAAUAGGUCAAUUAUAACAGUUGAGCGACCGUUAUAGAACCACGGAACUCAGGAAUGCCUAACACCUUCUCCCGGGUUAAUAGAAUUCCUUAUCUAGAAUUUCUGGUACGCAGGCUUUAAGAAAUAAAAUUUCCUCGAUUUGGGAUUUUAAAAUAAACUGGUGACUUGGGACACCAUAAAUUAUCCCAAGUGGAGACUCUUAUUUUUAAAUAAAUAAUCCCGUUUCGAUUGUUACUUUAAUUGGAAAAACUCCCUCAUAUACCCUUCUCGGAGGUGUACGUAAAAAAGGAGGUGUGACAGCAUAGGUCCUUAUAUUUAGACCCUCAAUUUCUUUGCCUCCUUCAACACCCUGGACUCGGCUUGUGAGCUUCUUGAGCUCCUCUGUCAUGUUCUUAAUGAGCAGGUCCUUCUCGGUGGAUUUUGGAGUGUAUGAGAUUGGCUGAGUAGAGUGGGGUAAGGUUUCCACAUAUAUGGGAUUGUUUUGGUGGGUGUCGGCAGUUGGAGUGUAGUGGUGAACAUUAGUUGAAUUUUGCGGAUCAGGGAUAGGUUGUAAGGUAUUCUGAGGAGUAUGGUAAGUGGUUUGUGGGUAUUGAGUAGGAAGAUGUUGAUGCUGAGGAGGAGUGGGUAUUGAUGGAGGAUUAGGAUUUUGGGGAGUUGUUGCAUAUUGAUAGGGCACGGGAGGAUUUUGUGGACAUUGGUUUGGUGUGUUCUGAGGAGGUGAUGGGAUUUGAGCAUUUUAUUGGUUAAUGCCUGGGCCGUUUAGGGUGAGGGAGAGGUUUGCCAAGUUGCGGAUCUGCUCAAGUUCCCCUUGCAAUUCCAGUAUUUUCUGUUCUAACCGUAGGACCAAAUUAUUCUGGGCCGGAGUACUUCGACCGUCUGAAGUUUCAACAUUUUCCACAUGCGCAACAUUUUCUUUCCGGAUACCACUCAUAUCAUCCAUCUUAGUUUUUCCCUUGCCUUUUGGAUUACUUGGAGGAGGAGGGCCUCUAGAUCUAGUGAUAUGCUGACGAUGCCAGUAUGUGCGAACAAACCUUAGGGGAUGAGAAUAAUCAAAAUAAAGAAAAGUGUAAAAAGGUAAACAAGUCAGUAAAGAUUCUGAAAAGCAUUUGCAGCAUUUAAACACAUAUUGCGAGAAUGUAAAUUCACGUCCUAAUUUGGAGAACCUCAUUAUGCUCGAGGUAAACCCUGAGACAAGUAGAUUUGGAGAGAUUUAAUGACGAUAAAUGCCUCAUUUCAUUAAUGUAAUAAAUAAGACGAACCUAAACAUGACAAUAAAUAAAUGAGUUACUAAUGGUAUCAGCCUUAUUACAUUCGAAUUCAAAAAUAGAUAAACCUAAUAUACUUGGUCCUAGAGGGACCUUCCCCAUAUUUGACCCUCUUGGCUCUGUCAAUUAAAUUCCCCAGGUCGUGCAUGUCCAGUAGCAGGUAUGCCCUUGCUAGGUGUCCUCCCUCAUUGCUUUUUGCAUUCUGUCAGUCUACGACUCUUUUCCUCAUCUUCCCUUCCAGUUCCAUUAGACCAUGCUCCAAAUAUUCCAACUAUUCUGUCGGCCUUGUAGCCAUUUCCCUCCAAAUGUCUAACUUGUGUUAUUCAAAAUGCAUGGCUUCAGACCCAAGGACUCUUUUGCGUAGCCUCUUAUACUUUACUUGUGCUUCAACAACCUUAUCUAUGAUUGUAUUUCCUUGACCAAUCCCUAGCUCGACUAUUCCUGCUAUGUUAUCUUCUAAUUAUGAUGGAUAGAAGUACGCAUGAUAUGCGUGAUAUCGAUCUGGCUCGAUGGUAUCCUUUUCUACGACAAUCUUCAAAUGCCACAUGUGUUGGGCCUUACAUAUGUAUGGCAUGGUGUCAUCCUGAAAAUCUGCUCUGUAAUGACUCAUUUUGGAGACUCGUGGUAUGACUUGUUUUCUACCAGCUUGUCUUAUGACCCUGAUAGGAACAUAGGGAUGUAUUCCCCUUAACCUAAUCAGUACCAAAUGCGGAACAUCCCUGGAUCUGAUGAUGAAUUCAUUAGUAGGGAACCACUCGAACAUCCAGUGAACCUGGUCCUCGGUCAAAUUGCUGAAGAACUAUGCCCAUUCUGUAGCAUUCACUGGCUGUGCAAAUCUGUCUGGGAUAAAGGUCAUUCUUUUGGGAUGGUGGAAAGCUAUGUGAUCAUUCCAUGGUCCCCUUGGAUACUCUUGGUAGUAUUGGCCCCUCUGAAGAUGUUCUAACAACCAAAUCUGUAGUAGCAAGUUACAACCCUCAAAAUGUUUGAACCCUUUCUUGCAACAAGGAAGGUAGAUUUUCAAGAACCUUUUUUACAUGAUUUUUGUCGCUUGGUGAAACGUUUUCCCAUCAAUAUAACAAUAAAAGUGGUAUACUUUGGACCAUGCUGAACCUGGGGACUUCAUACCUCAUUUUCUGCAAAAAUAAACAGAGUUAGACCCUUGCCCCCUCCAGAUUCGACUACUUACACAUUAACGAUUAGCAUGUUGACAUUUAUCUCUCCAAAUGAUGCACAUAUCGUGGUUGCGCCCGUUAGAAUUAUGGAAAUCCUAGUGGACUUUGGACAAGGUUUUCUUAGAGGGUUAUUAUGCCGACAAAAUAUUAACCCAUGCUAGGUUUGAUCAUGAUGCAUGUACAGUUAUUACCAGAGUAAGGUUUCUAUAGAAGUCUAGACUACUACCCUCAAACGGACAACUUAAGAGGGAAAGGCGCGGAACCGUCGACUGCACCACUGAUCGACUAGUUUUAUCGCAAAUAAGUCUUUCCAAAUUUAAAGGGUGAUUUUAGGAAGAGCGCGGACAUUCAUCAAGCACCGCUAUAGUAUUAGUACGCAAGAGUGGAAUAUGAUGUUGAGCAUGCAGUUAUGCAAAAGAAAAUAACAUGUUGCCAAGUAUUUGCACGAUGAAUAAUGAUAAAAUGCGGUAUUUAAUAAUUGUAAAGACAUUAAGAAAGAAAAACAAAGAGACAAGUCAGUCUGCAUAGCAAAAAAAUGAUGAAACGGGGAAGAGAAAUCAUAAAUGAAUGAAGAUAGACAAAUAAAUUCACAUAGAGUGGGAAGGGAAAAUGGGUGUACAAGUAUUAACGGAAUAAUAAAGACAUGCUUAAAGACUAAUUCACAAACAAGUUUGUUAUGGUAAGAGCCUAAAGAUGUCCCCAGCAGAGUCGCCAUGCUAUCACGCCCCCUUUUUCUUGCGAAAUCGGGUUUCGACAUUUCUGGGACAACUCCUUUUGAGAGGGUAGGGAAUUGGGAUUAAAAGAGUCGCCACCUAAUGGAUUAAGGUGUGUUAGGGCACCUGGAGCAAAUAACUCAUGUUACUAGUUUACAUCACCAGAGAUCGAGUAAGGGCUCGAAAUUACCUUGAGGGGAAGGUGUUAGGCACCCCUCGAGGUCCAUAAUGGUGGGUCCUGACCAAACUUAAAUUAAGCAAAUUAGUCUAACGGGAAGAAAGCAAUCUGGACAAAUAAAAUACGCAGUUUAUUUAAAACAGGAAUAAGGGGGAGGGGGAGAGUCCUAAGUUUUUUAGCCUAUAGGAUCAUCCCGUGUAAUACUUUGUAACUAUCUCAAGUCGGGGUGUCACUCAUAGUACUUAGCGCACGGACUAUCACCUCCUGCUAUCCGAUUACUAUCUUUAAGUUGUUACCUAAAGCAUUCUAAUUGAUUAUAGUUCGAUCCCUAUGCGUGCACUACCCAUCCCUUACCUAUGGCCCUAGAGGUAUUAUGACCUCUAUUUGGGAUAGUUCUAGACUAAGUCUAGGUUGCUCGAAAAUGUAAAAGACUAAGCGACAAACAAAAACAAUUAGGACUUUCAGACAACAAGCAAAUAUAGGCUCAUAUUGACCUCCACAUAUAAAUAACAAAGCACGCAAUUGAUACAACAAACCUUAUUAACCUUAAGACCCUAUAGGCAAGAUGUCUAUACAAGAAAAUAGAGUGCAGAUGCAAUUUUAUUAAGGCAAGUGUUAAAACCUGUUGUUUGCCUAUUGAUUUUUAUUCAGUAUGAUGUGGGCAGUUCAGGCAGUAAUACAUCAUAAUUAUAGGUCUAGAAUUAUUAAAUCCUACAGGUAUAUUGCCUAAGUGAUUGCAAAGAGCGAUUGUAUUCAGAAUCAAUUGAUAGAAUUCUAUAGGCAUGAUUUCUACGAGUUUGAUGAUUACAGACCUAUAGACAUGGUUUCUAGGUGUAGCACCGACUUUAACUUACAGAGAUUGGUUAUAUUCCCUUUUAAUCCUAGAGGCAUGAUCUCUAACUGAUAUACUUACUUAAGUCCUAUAGGCAUGAUUUCUACGUUUGAAACUGGUUUUAGUCCUAUAGGCAUGAGAUCUACUACUGAAUUAAUUUAAAUCCUAUAGGCAUAAUUUCUAACUAAUUUUUCAUCCUAUAGGCAUGAUUUCCACGAGCUGUGUAUGGGUAGAAAUUAUGCAGAUUGCCAGAAAACCGA
rnacentral:lncRNA from 1 species